AUGGAGAGGCCUAAAUUUCAAGUCAGACUUGAAGCUGCUGUUGCACACAGGGAGCCUCUAACCUGGCCCAUCGCUCCCGAUGGCUACAUCCCCAACUCUGUGAUCCGCAGCCGGAGGAGGAAGGGCAAGAAACUUUGGGAUGACAGCUUCUUUCAUGGUCAACGAACGGAUGAAUGCACCACAGGUUACAAGCAGGAUAAAAUCACAGAUUAUUUAUGGUUCCAGACUGAAAAUGAGAAAGAAGGUGAGCUGAAAAGAAAGAAGAGCGGACCAGAAGAUGAGAGGACAAGGAAAGAAAGUAAAAAAAUAGGCUGGCAAGGACGUGACGAUACAAAGGAAGAAGAAACAGAGAAGAAGACAGAAAAGGAAGCUGAAAAAGCUCAAGAAAAGCUGGAGGUGAUGAGAAAGAAAAAAACUGAUGCAAAGAAAGAAAAUGGCAAAGACGAGACGGAGAAGUUUAUCCAGACUGCGAGUCCUGUGAACGAACAACCGAAACCCUCUGAGGACGCUAAUGUGGCGCCUCAAAAGCAAGCAGAUGAUCCAACAAAUGCUCCGGACUUCCUACCAACUUCCUGUGAUGAGAAGAGAAGCAAACCUGUGAGAGAGCUGAAGACAGAAAUGGAGCUCUGUGAAGUCAUUCCCAAAGUGAAUGAUGUGAGUGAAGAGAAGGACGAGGGGCAGCCCGACCAAACAGGAAAAGUACGUUGAGAAAAUGAUUCCCCGUCAGAAGUAUUAAAGUCAGCAAUACUUCUGUGAACAUCACUCCAACAAACGUCACUUGUUGGCUGAUAUUAAUUGACUGUGAUGUGCUCAGAGGAAAGAGAGCGAGCAGGAGAAAACAGCCAGAGCCGAAACAGCCAGAGCCGAAACAGCCAGAGCCGAAACAGCCAGAGCAGAAACAGCCAGAGCAGAAACAGCCAGAGCAGAACGACCAGGUAAAGUAGAGUUUUACAGGGACAAAUAUUGAUCAUUUUCACU
rnacentral:lncRNA from 1 species